UACGUAGGCAGCAAGCGUUGUUCGGAGUUACUGGGCGUAAAGGGUGUGUAGGCGGUUCUUUAAGUUUGGUGUGAAAUCUCCCGGCUCAACUGGGAGGGUGCGCCGAAUACUGAGGGACUAGAGUACGGGAGAGGAAAGUGGAAUUCCUGGUGUAGCGGUGAAAUGCGUAGAUAUCAGGAGGAACACCGGUGGUGUAGACGGCUCUCUGGACCGUAACUGACGCUGAGACACGAAAGCGUGGGGAGCGAACAGG
rnacentral:rRNA from 1 species